GAACUGCGAUAAGUAAUGUGAAUUGCAGAAUUCAGUGAAUCAUCGAGUCUUUGAACGCACAUUGCGCCCCCUGGCAUUCCGGGGGGCAUGCCUGUCCGAGCGUCAUUGCUGCCCUUCAAGCCCGGCUUGUGUGUUGGGUCGUCGUCCCCUCCGGGGGACGGGCCCGAAAGGCAGCGGCGGCCCCGCGUCCGGUCCUCGAGCGUAUGGGGCUUUGUCACCCGCUCGAUAAGGACCGGCCGGGCGCCAGCCGGCGUCUCCAACCUUUUUUUCUCAGGUUGACCUCGGAUCAGGUAGGGAUACCCGCUGAACUUAAGC
rnacentral:misc_RNA from 1 species